AGUGUCCUCAGCUGUGUCUUCAGGGGUCCUUAGGGCAAAUUUACUUUCGAUGUCGAUAAAAUCUCUUCUUUCUGGAAAGGAAAAAUUGGAUAUGAGGUUAACUGGAGGGUUGCUUGAUUUUAUUCAUUGGAAUGAUAUGUUUUAGGUUCACAGGCAACCACCGCUGAUGCUAUUUUUGUUUCUGAAGUGUUUUCGAAAACGAAUGUGGAUUGCAAGAGAACAACAGAUGCUCCAACGUUGAGCAAAGUUGACAGAGAGACAACCUUAACUCUGAAUUAAGAUUGUCACCAUUGACC
rnacentral:lncRNA from 1 species